UACGGAGGGAGCUAGCGUUGUUCGGAAUUACUGGGCGUAAAGCGCACGUAGGCGGCUUUUUAAGUCAGGGGUGAAAUCCCGGGGCUCAACCCCGGAACUGCCCUUGAAACUGGAGAGCUAGAAUCUUGGAGAGGCGAGGGGAAUUCCGAGUGUAGAGGUGAAAUUCGUAGAUAUUCGGAAGAACACCAGUGGCGAAGGCGACUCGCUGGACAAGUAUUGACGCUGAGGUGCGAAAGCGUGGGGAGCGAACAGG
rnacentral:rRNA from 1 species